CACGUAGGCGGCUCUUUAAGUCAGGGGUGAAAUCCUGGAGCUCAACUCCAGAACUGCCUUUGAUACUGAGGAGCUUGAGUCCGGGAGAGGUGAGUGGAACUGCGAGUAUAGAGGUGAAAUUCGUAGAUAUUCGCAAGAACACCAGUGGCGAAGGCGGCUCACUGGCCCGGUACUGACGCUGAGGUGCGAAAGCGUGGGGAGCAAACA
rnacentral:rRNA from 1 species